rnacentral:rRNA from 1 species
UACGUAGGGUGCAAGCGUUGUUCGGAAUUACUGGGCGUAAAGGGUUCGUAGGUGGCCAACUCAGUCAGACGUGAAAUCCCUCAGCUCAACUGGGGAACUGCGUCUGAUACUGGAUGGCUCGAGUGCAGGAGAGGAACGCGGAAUUCCAGGUGUAGCGGUGAAAUGCGUAGAUAUCUGGAGGAACACCGGUGGCGAAGGCGGCGUUCUGGACUGCAACUGACACGUGAGGAACGAAAGCCCAGGGGAGCAAACGGG